AGUUACAUCGGACUGUGACACUUACUGUUUACAGGAGACUAUAAAACUUUGCCCAGUCGUCACUUGGGGCCCGCCUGCACCCAGGCCGUCAUUAAAACAGCAUGUUGCUCCACACCGCCUCGUGUUGUCUGUUGGUGUGCUCUCAGGGUGGAAACGAUACAAGAACGUUACACUUACAGGCUUUAGUUUAUAUUAUUCUCAUAGAAGACUUCCUCAUAAUCCAAUUUAAAAAAUGAGAGUUUCCCUGCACAAGCUCUUGCUUUGCCUGAUGCCAUCCAUGUAAGACGUGACUUGCUCCUCCUUGCCUUCUACCAUGAUUGUGAGACUUCCCCAGCCACGUGGAACUAUUAUGCUCCAAGACACUGAAUCUGAAAGGAUGCAUCCAGUCUUGCCAAGUGGUUUCACUACCAAGGCCAGUCUCCAUCUAUGAUAGACCCAAGGAAGAUCAUUUACAACUAGAAUCUAGUCAUUUAGGAGAUUGUGUGCUCCCUGGAUGGGCCAUCUGCACUGGUGUGAGGUUUAUCUCAUUGAAGGGAAAACCAAAGGAAUCUUCUUGAAUAUCAGCACCAGGAAGAGCAGUACAAACUGGAGAAGCUGGGGUAUGUAGGCAAUGGCUUCA
rnacentral:lncRNA from 1 species